ACCUGGGAAUGGGAUUGUUCUGCCUGGCUCCCUGAAUGCCAUCUAAGAAGCUUGUCAAAGAGUGUUGGCUGCCUUCUUACAUGGCAUGAGGGGAGUCAUGCAGGCUUAACAAUCCCAAGUUA
rnacentral:pre_miRNA from 1 species